rnacentral:rRNA from 1 species
UGGGGAAUAUUGCACAAUGGGGGAAACCCUGAUGCAGCGACGCCGCGUGAGCGAAGAAGUAUUUGGUAUGUAAAGCUCUAUCAGCAGGGAAGAUAAUGACGGUACCUGACUAAGAAGCCCCGGCUAACUACGUGCC